GGACUUAGAGAAAAAAUGGCGGCGUCUCGUCGGCUCCGGGACCUGCAAUCGCAGCCGGGGAACAAGAUCUGCGUGGACUGCUCCCAGAAGAACCCGCAAUGGGCCUCGGUGUCCUACGGUGUCUUCAUGUGCUUAGAGUGCUCCGGCAAGCACCGCGGGCUCGGCGUCCACAUCUCGUUCGUCCGAUCCGUGACAAUGGACUCGUGGUCCGAGAUCCAGAUCAAGAAGAUGGAGGCCGGCGGCAACGAGCAGCUCAACGCCUUCCUAGCCAGCUACGGCGUUCCUAAGGAGACGGAUAUCGUCACCAAGUACAAUACCAACGCUGCCAGCGUGUACCGGGAUCGGAUUCAAGCCCUAGCCGAGGGGCGUCCCUGGAGGGACCCACCUGUUGUGCAGGAAACCAUAGGGGUUGGGAAAAAGAAGCCGCCUUUGGCCCAAGGCGGCGGCGGUGGAAGUGGCAGGGGAGGUGGUUCUGGGAACAAUGGUGGGUGGGAUAGUUGGGAUGACGACGGUUUUAGAUCGUCGACCGAUUUGAGGAGGAAUCAGUCGACCGGUAACUUUAGAGGCGGUGGUGCUCAUGGUGGUAGUGGUGCUGGUGGAUAUGGAGGUGGGAUGCCGGCCAAGUCGAGGUCUACGGAGGACAUCACGAGAUCACAAUUGGAGGCUUCUGCGGCGAACAAGGAGAGCUUUUUCGCCAGGAAAAUGGCGGAGAAUGAUUCGCGGCCUGACGGGCUACCGCCCUCACAGGGCGGGAAGUAUGUCGGGUUUGGAUCGAGCCCCGCCCCUUCGCAGAAUCAUAAUGUGAAUGCGCAAGGCGAUGUGUUGUCUGUUGUAUCUCAGGGUUUUGGAAAGUUAUCUUUGGUUGCUGCAUCGGCUGCUCAGUCGGCUGCAAGUGUAGUACAGGCAGGCACUAAAGAUAUCACUACUAAGGUGAAAGAAGGCGGCUAUGAUUACAAUGUGAAUGAAACUGUUAAUGUUGUCACUGCAAAGACUUCAGAGAUUGGACAAAGGACUUGGGGGAUUAUGAAAGGGGUCAUGGCAUUAGCAUCACAGAAAGUUGAAGAGUACACUAAAGACGGAACAAACGGGAAAGCUGAGAAUAACUGGCAACGAAAUGGUAGUGAGCAGAAUGGAUACUAUCAAGAGUUUAAACAGGAGAACAAAGAAUGGAAUUCUUCUUCCGUAGGGGGGCAAUCAUCAAGUGGGAAUCUUAAUUCUUACGGCUCUAGUUCUUGGGAUGAUUGGGACCAAAAAGACACAAGGAAGCAAGAGACUACUAAAGGAACGGGAUCCAACAGCAAUGAUGGUUGGGCUGGAUGGGAUGAUGGCAAAGAUGAUGGAUGUGAUAAUGCUUACCGGAGUGCAUCUAUUCACAAUGGGAAAUCUGACUCAGCGUGGACUGGGGGAGGCUUUAACUAAGGUUAGUGUAAUACGGGGAACUUAUUUUUUGGUUAUCUAUAAGACUAUAACCUUUUCCAUAUCUUACCUUUUUACCAUGUUCCACCAGUAUAAGAAGGAAUCUCACGUGGUCUUAGCAAAUACUGGUUGACUCAUGUCGGACACAAAUUAGAACUCAAACGGAUGGAUGCCAAGGGUGAUACCUAGGACCUGGCUGAUGGAUAUGGAAUUUGAUGGAGGCGGAAAUUGUUAGCAGCUGGUGCUGACUGAUUGAUUGGUGAUAUAUUGGAAUUUAGAUCCAAUUCCAUGGAAAAGACACUUGUUGAGGUUAGUUUAUUUGCAGAAAAAUUUUCUUCUCUUUUUCUUUCAUCUUGAAAAGAUUUUUAUGUAACUUAUUUGGGAUUUUCGUCGUUUUCCAAAAGUUGUUUAUAUAUGUACAACUAUCAACGAGGAGGGUUAUUUGCCCGAUUCAAAUGAGGUUCAAAUUUGUUUGUGAGAUUUGAGGAAUGAAAAUUUCCAUUUGAUUUGCA